rnacentral:rRNA from 1 species
GACUGUACAAAGGUAGCAUAAUCAUUUGUCUUUUAAUUGGAGGCUGGUAUGAAUGGCUGGAUGAAAAAUAGUCUUUCUUUAUUUUAUAUAAAAAAAUUAAUUUUUUAGUCAAAAAGCUAAGAUAAUUUUAUAGGACGAGAAGACCCUAUAGAACUUUAUUUUCUAUGUUUAUAACUUUUAUAGUUUUAUAAAAAGUUAUAAAUAAAUGUUAAUUUUGUUGGGGUGAUUGAAAAAAUUAUAUAACUUUCUCUAUUUUAUACAUUUAUAUAUGUAAUUUUGAUCCUUUAUUAUGGAUAAUAAGAUUAAGUUACCUUAGGGAUAACAGCGUUAUUUUUUUGGAGAGUUCUUAUCGAUAAAGAAGUUUGCGACCUCGAUGUUGGAUUAAAAUAAGUAUCAGGAGCAGAAUAUUGUUUACUAGGUCUGUUCGACCUUUAAUUUUUUACA